GGGGGCAUAGCUCAGCUGGGAGAGCAACAGACUGAAGUUUGUAUUUAAGUUGGUAGAAUCUUCUGGAGGUCCCCAGUUCAAUCCUGGGUGCCCCCA